CCUACGGGAGGCUGCAGUGAGGAAUAUUGGUCAAUGGACGAGAGUCUGAACCAGCCAAGUAGCGUGAAGGAUGACUGCCCUAUGGGUUGUAAACUUCUUUUAUAAAGGAAUAAAACGAGGCACGUGUGCCUUUUUGCAUGUACUUUAUGAAUAAGGAUCGGCUAACUCCGUGCCAGCAGCCGCGGUAAUACGGAGGAUCCGAGCGUUAUCCGGAUUUAUUGGGUUUAAAGGGAGCGUAGAUGGGUUGUUAAGUCAGUGGUGAAAGUUUGCGGCUCAACCGUAAAAUUGCAAUUGAUACUGGCAGUCGUGAGUACAGUUGAGGUAGGCGGAAUUCGUGGUGUAGCGGUGAAAUGCUUAGAUAUCACGAAGAACCCCGAUUGCGAAGGCAGCUUACUAAACUGUGACUGACAUUGAUGCUCGAAAGUGUGGGUAUCAAACAGGAUUAGAUACCCCGGUAGUC
rnacentral:rRNA from 1 species